rnacentral:rRNA from 1 species
ACGAACGCUGGCGGCGUGCUUAACACAUGCAAGUCGAGCGAUGAAGCUCCUUCGGGAGUGGAUUAGCGGCGGACGGGUGAGUAACACGUGGGUAACCUGCCUCAUAGAGGGGAAUAGCCUUCCGAAAGGAAGAUUAAUACCGCAUAAGAUUGUAGUGCCGCAUGGCAUAGCAAUUAAAGGAGUAAUCCGCUAUGAGAUGGACCCGCGUCGCAUUAGCUAGUUGGUGAGGUAACGGCUCACCAAGGCGACGAUGCGUAGCCGACCUGAGAGGGUGAUCGGCCACAUUGGGACUGAGACACGGCCCAGACUCCUA